UACGUAGGGGGCAAGCGUUGUCCGGAAUUAUUGGGCGUAAAGAGCGCGUAGGCGGUCUGAUAAGUCGGUUGUGAAAGUCGGGGGCUCAACCCUCGGAUGCCGAUCGAUACUGUCAGGCUAGAGUCCGGAAGAGGCGAGUGGAAUUCCUGGUGUAGCGGUGAAAUGCGCAGAUAUCAGGAGGAACACCAAUGGCGAAGGCAGCUCGCUGGGACGGUACUGACGCUGAGGCGCGAAAGCGUGGGGAGCAAACAGG
rnacentral:rRNA from 1 species